UACCAGGGAUGAUAGAAUUGGUGUCUGCACUGGAAUCUUCAGAACUGAUGGUGUUCCACCGGAAGACAUUGUUAAGCUUGUUGAUACCUUCCCAGGACAAUCCAUUGGUCAGUUGAUGGAAAAAAAAAAAAAAAAAAAAAGAAGAAAAUUUAUAUUGUAAAAUCUUAGAGUUUAAGGAAAUUUAUUUCAUUAUGCAGACUUCUUCGGUGCUGUGAGGGCAAGAGUUUACGAUGAUGAAGUGAGGAAGUGGGUUUCAGGCGUAGGAGUGGAAACCAUUGGAAAGAAACUUGUGAACUCAAGAGAAGGACCCCCAACAUUCGAGCAACCAAAGAUGAACCUGGACAAGCUCCUUGAGUACGGACAGAUGCUUGUCCAAGAGCAAGAGAAUGUGAAGAGAGUUCAAUUGGCUGACAAGUACUUGAGUGAGGCUGCUCUUGGUGAGGCCAACCAAGAUUCCAUUGAUAGAGGAACAUUCUACGGUUAGCUCCCUUGAUCCUAAUAAAGGCCUUGAUGUGGAGGUUUGCAUCUAACAAAUCUUACAAGAACAUGUUUGUCUGAAUCACCCAAGAGUCUCCUUAAGCUUUUUUUUUGCUUUUGUUGUUGUUGUUGCAGGUCAAGCUGCCCAGCAAGUUAAUAUACCAGUUCCUGAAGGUUGCACUGAUCCAGGUGCAUCAAACUUUGAUCCAACUGCUAGGAGUGAUGAUGGGAGCUGCACUUACAAGUUCUAGGCCUUUUUAUUGGGAUUUUUUUAUGUUAAUCUGUGGAAGGAUAAUCACUUCCAAACUCAUUUGGGAUUUGUCAACCUAUAAUGUUUCCUUGUCUUGAAUGGAUUUCUAUCCUCUAAUUUUGUGUGAUUAUUACAAUUUUCAAUCAUCUUAAACCAGUGGUUUGUUUCCUACCACCAACUUUAGAGAAUUAUUUACUUGUGGCUUGAAAGACUCCAUAUUCAUAAUUAAUAAAUUUGAAAAUUUUAUUAUUAAAAUAUAAAAAUAAUUACUAAUCUACUAGAUCAUUUUUAUUCAUGUGUCGUAAUGUAAGUGGCGGAAAGUAAACCACCUGCAUCACACAGAUAUGAGAGUUCCCAUAUAGACUGAGAAAUUCUCUGGAUUGUAGAUAUGAGAAAUUUCACAUAUAAUUAAAUUAAUUAAAAAAAAAAAAGAGAGGGGAAAAGAAUGAAGAUAAUUAACUAAAAAUAAAAGAAAGAAGAGAAAGGAAAGAGAGGAAAAAGAAUGGAGAUGGAAGAAAAAUAGUUAGUUAAGCAAAGGUUUUACGUACACUUUUUCAUAGAAAAAAUGAAAGAAAUUUUAAAUUUUAAAGUUAUAAAGUUUAAUAAAUCAAGUGAAAUUUUGGUCGAUUCAUAUUUUUCACUUGAUUUAUUAUUAAUUUUUUUAAUUUAAUCACAAUUUAAGUGUAUUUAUAAUUUAUCUUAUAUAUUUAAUUAAUUAAAAUAUAGAAUAAAAUUAAUAAUGUCACUGUUGGAAUAAAUAAUUAUAAAAUUUAGAUAUAUUUAAGAUUGAUCCUGUAGAUUCAGAGUGAAAACCAUAAGAUUCUCAUAACAAUGGAUAAGACAGUUUAACAAAUAUUUUAUCAACUCUAUCUUCCAUUCCAUAUCAUGUCAAAAUCAAAUUUAAAAUUUUAUUAAUUUAAAGGAUAUUACGAUAAAUAUUAAAAUUAAUAAUAAAAAUUUUAUAAUAAUAUUAAUUAAUAUACUGUAAUAAUAUAAAUAAUUAUCGCAAAUAAUACUAAAAAAAUAUAAUACAAAAAUUAAUUUUUCAUGUAUUGGCUUGCAUAGUUUGAAUCGAAUAGUCGUUUUUUUUUUUUUNNNNNNNNNNNAGUAAGGCUUGUUGUUCAAAGGUUCACGUCUGGAUUGGGCUCAUCACUUUUGGUUACCAGCCCAUAUCUUUUGUUAAAACAAACUCUCUCUCCUUUUUUUCCCUCUUUUAAAGGUAGAAUUCAUUGCAAUAGAAGACCAAAGCCCAGUUUUUUUCUCUUUUUUUUUAAAAAAAGUCCUAGAACAGAAGCUCUAAGCCUGGAUUCGACCCACAAGAAGAUCUGACCUAGAAUUAAAUGUAGCAGCACCUCUCAUCUCAAGCUACGGCUCCCUUGCAGAUCCAUUCCAGGCAGGUGCACAAGGGAGCAACCAACACAGUUAUUCCCUUAGGGAGUCUAGCAAAAUCAAUAAAGGCCAAAUGCAAGAGAAAAAAGCACAGCCAUGGAAGGAAGAAGGGUUUGAUCCAAGGGAUCAGGCAAUGAGAUAGAGCUCUUAUGCACUUUCGAUGCCUGGAGGAUGUCAUUUUCAGAAGGCAUUGCAAUGAAAGUUGCUAACUUUUUGUGGGUGGAGAGAGAUAUUUUGAUUAUGUGAUUAAUUCUUACAUAUUAAAAAGUCAAUUGUUUUCAACCAACCACAAUAAACUAAAAUACUAAAUGGUUAUGUACAGACAUCAGCCAAAACGUCAUCAAGUUUAUUUAAAUUCAGUGAAUAAUUUAACCACCAAAAAUUAUUACUUUGCAGUAAAUUCUUUAAAUAAAAAAAUUGCAUCUUUUUUUUACAAUUAUAAAUUAUGUCCAACUAAUUUGUUUUAACAGUUUUCUAUUUGAAAUAAAAACAUUCAAUUUUUUUAAUUUUAAAAGAAAUAAAAUAUUUCAUGAUUUAUAAUAGUUUAUUUGAUUUUUUUUUACAAAAUGAAUUGUGUUAAAUAAGGGUUUAAAAUUAAAAUAAAUUUCUUAAAAUUCAAAAUAUAGUGAAAAUUUUUUAAAGUUUUUUUUAAAAAAAUUAUCCAAUAAUUACAUUUAACGAAAAUCAUAUCAAUAUAUUAAAUGACAAGCGACUAAAGAAGUUGAAUUUUAAGGAAGAGAUGUCUCUGUCAAUAUAGAAUAGAAUCUUUACUAUAUAUAAUUUCUUUCUUUGGUCGUUGGAGUAGUUGACCAUUUGUAGAUAAUUUUCACCGUCCAAUUUAGAUUGUGAAUCAAAUUUAAUCAAUUAAUUUCAAUUUUUAAAUGAAAUUAUAAUUUUAAAUUAAAAAAAUUGAUUCUUUGUAAAUUAAAAUUAAAAUUGAAUAGAAACUGAUUGAUUUAAUUUACAAUUUGAUUUAAUUUCAGUUUGAUUUUUUAUUUUUAAAAUAAAUUAUUUUAUAAGAUUAUGACGCUUAAAAUUAAUGUAUAAACGAGUUAAAUUAUUAAAUUAAGUUCUUCUUUUGAGUCCAAAUCAUGAGAAAAAAAUACUGAAGGUUGCACAAAGGAUUCGACUUUUUAUUUAUUUAUUUAUUUUUAUUUUCUAGUUGUACUUAUUAAACAUCAAGAAUGUGGAAAAGAUUCCCAUCUUAAUUAUAUUCUUAAUUAGGUAAUUAAUCAAUUCAAGUAGCCAAAUCUUUUUACCAAAUUCCAACAAAUUUUUGACUUCUAUUGCACACAUGCCAUUUGCUUUUAAUUAAAAAAAAUAUUAUUUUAAAUAUAUUUAUAAAAAACUAUUAAAUUUAAAUUUAUUAUAUUUUAGCACUCAGAAUCCUAAUCUAAUAAUAAAUAAAUAUAAGUAAAUUUGAGAUAUCUCAAUUUUAUCAUUUCAAUUCCUUCAUUUCAAUCCCUAAUUUUUGAUUUUUAAAAAAAAUUAUUCAUAAUUUAAUGAUAAAUAAAUAUGAGAGAUCUCAAUUUUAUCUCCAAUUCUUAAUUUUUAAUUAAAAAAAUUUAUUAGAUUUUAAUUAUUAAAAAUUGUUAAAAUACAUUAUAUCUAAUUAUUUUUUAGUGAUAUUUUAAAAUGUAAUUUGUAAAAAAGAUAAUAAUCUCAAUCUCCAAAUCUAUUAACGAUGAUGACGUAGGCCUUAGAGGCGUUAUGAAUUUACUAAAUCUAGUAAAUUAAAUUUAAAUUAUUAUUUUAAAUUAAUUUGUUAAAAAAAAUAUUUCAUACAUCAAAUCAAAAUAAUAAUUUAAAUUAUUAUAUUUAACAAAUUCUUUAGAGUCAUAUUAUCGUCUUUAAUAAUUUAUUACGUCAAAUAUUUAAUUCUUCUCUUUGAUUUAAAUUAUCAAGAAAAGCGUCAACUGACUCAGAAAUUUUAGCACCAACCCUCAAUUAUUAUUUUCGAAUGUAGUGACUCCCACGUCUAAGUUUGGCAACAUUUUGACUUGAAUUUUCUUUUUUUUUUCAACUUGCAUUUUUUAAUUCGUAUUUUAAUUUAUCAUGGGUAGUUUUAAAAUAUUAAUUUAAUUUUUUUACUAAAAUGCAAUUGAAUAUUGCAAUUAAAAUAAUAUUAAUAUUUUCACUAAAAUUUUAUAAUAUAAUUCUUUUUAAAUAAAAUCAAAAAUUGAUAUAAUAUAAUAUAAAAUUUAUAUUUAUUCAGAUACAUUUAUCACUACAUUAAAUCUAUAAAUGUAAAUUUUAUAUUAUAAAUUUUUAAUUAUAUAUAUUUAUAUGUUAAAAUAUUAUAUAUGCUUUAGAAAUCAAUUAAAAAAAUUUAAACCUUAAAAAUAUUAAAAUUUUAUCAGUUUUAUUUUUUUAUAUAAAUAAUUUCUUAAAAAUGAUUAACACCAAAAAAAUAAUAUAUUAAAGUAUUUUACUGAAUUUAUAUGCAUGUUUAUCUGUGACUUUAAACACGACAUACCUAUGUGUUUACCUUUUGGCUUAAAAGAAUUUGGAAACCAACCCACGUUUCUCAUCUUGUUUAAUUGAUUGCAAUCAAAUCGAACCAGUUAAAUCAUUCAUAACUUAGAACGGUCUGAUUUAAACAGAGUCAUUGGUUUUGGUUUCGAGGGGCACCGAUUUUGGGUGGGAGCUCACCGCAAAGGAAACCGAGAGGUUCCUUCCAGUUUGUGGUGAGAGAGACAAGAAUCUUUUAUUACAAAAGAUAAAGGACGAUUUCAUGAAGAAAAAGAAAGGGACAGUCAAUCCAGCGCAACCACAUCCACAUGGUGGCUGUAUGAUGGAGCCUCCAGAAAAUCCAGACACUGCCAAGACCAUUUCUUACACUCGUUAAACGUAUUGUCGUUCAAUGAAUGGACGAUGUCUCACACGCACACCCCUUCUGUCCAUGGGCCCCAUUUGAUUAACAUUCAUUGUGCAUAUCCUUCAUUUUCCAGGGCGUGCUUAAUUUUGAUGGUUGCGGUGCCAACGAUUCAUUAAGAAACAAAUUUUAAAUUUAUAUUUUUUUAAAUUAAAAUUAAAAAUUAAAAAAAUAAAAUAUAAAAUUUCUCAAACUUAUUUAAAUAUAUUUACUAUUAAAUUAAGUAUGUAAAUACUUUAAAUUUAUAUCCUAUUAUAUAAUUGUAAAUGCUUUAAGUUUAUAUUCUAUUAUAUAAUUAUAAAUUUUCUUUUUAUUUAUCGAAAAUCCAGUGGAUCAAGUAACAAUUGUGGAUAAAUGAAGAUAAUUUUAAUAUAAAUAAGGUUUAUUGGCUAAAAAUUAGUGAAAUUAAUUCAAAGCUAAUCUCAAAUGACAAUAAUUUAAUUGCUGAAUAAGCAACUCUUGCUAUAGCCUACUGCCUAGAGCAGCCAACAAUACCUCACUUUUACCUUCCACAGUGGUAGGUGAAGCCAGAAUGGACUCAGCCAACGGACUCGCAGUUUGAUAAUUAUGACUAUUACGGUUCAUUUUUAAAGGUUUUUUUUUUAAAAAAUAAAAAUUGGACGUGGGUUAGUAGAAUUUAAAAUUUUAUAUUUAUUAUUACUAUAGUCAAUGAGUAACCAAAUGUUUUAUGUGAAACUCAACUCGUUAUUGUUGUGCAUAAUAAUUUUUUAAAAAUCAAGUGACACUUAAAUUUUAUUGAGAUAACCUUGUAAAUAUUUAUUCUGCCCUUUUCAAUUAUAGACCAAGGUAAGAUGAAAUCCUAGAUGUUACCAUCACCAGCCAAGAAGCACCCACAAAUCUCUUUCCCCUUCUCUUCUUCUUCUUCUUCUUCUUCUUCUUCUAUAAACUAAGUUUAAACCACUUGCUGAAAAUGUAACCAGAGCAAAAGGCCAAAACUUUAGCUAUCUUGCAGAAAACAGAACAUCCUCUGUUUCAGAAAUUUUAACUUUUCAUUGUAUAAUGUUCCAGAAACUGUCUCCUUUCUUGUUUUUUCUCUCUUUUCUUUUGAACCCAGUUUUUUCUCAGCUAGAUGAGCUCUUUUCCCAAGGCUUUGAUCAUGCCAGGAGCAACAUGAGCGUCUGUGAUGGUGCUCAGAUUGAAGAUAAUGGCAUACUUCGGUUAACAAACAAUUCUCUUCGCUUGAAAGGCCAUGCUUUUUACUCAAAUCAAAUGCAAUUCAAGAGCUCUAUCACUGGCAAAGCUUUCUCCUUCUCCACCGCCUUCGCUUUCGCCAUAGUUCCUGAGUACCCAAAGCUUGGUGGCCAUGGUUUUGCUUUCACCAUCUCUCCCUCAAAAGACCUACCUGGGUCUCUUCCAAGCCAGUACCUAGGCCUACUCAAUGCAAGCAAUAUUGGUAAUUUCUCCAAUCACAUCUUCGCAGUUGAAUUUGAUACAGUUCAAGAUUUUGAGUUUGGAGAUAUUAAUGAUAACCAUGUGGGUAUUGAUAUAAAUAGCUUGGUAUCAAAUAAAUCUGCUCCUGCUACUUUUUUUAUUGAUAAUUCUACUAAGAUGAAUCUGACUCUCCAAAGUGGUAGGGUUUUUCAAGCUUGGGUUGAUUAUGACUCGACCCAGAAUCUAAUAGAGGUUAGGCUUUCAUCUUCUUCCACAAAACCAAGAUCUCCGAUCUUGUCUUUUGAAGUAGAUCUUUCUCCUUUCCUCCAUGAUUAUAUGUAUGUGGGAUUCUCUUCAUCUACUGGGUUGCUGGCAAGCACACACUAUAUUCUUGGAUGGAGUUUUACAAUGAAUAAAAUGGCUCAAUCUUUAUCUCUAUCUUCUCUUCCUUCUCUACCUCGGCCAGGAAAGAAUCAUACAGUGCUGAUUGCUGUUGUCACAUUUUCAGCUGUUGUGUUCAUAAUCUUGGUCAUGGGUAUAGCUUUUUACCUGGUUAGAAAGAUUAAAAAUGCGGAUGUGAUCGAGGAAUGGGAGUUUGAUGUUGGUCCUCAUAGAUUUUCUUAUCAAGAACUCAAGAAAGCAACAAGGGGAUUCAGAGACAAAGAGCUUCUUGGAUUUGGUGGAUUUGGCAAAGUUUAUAAAGGAACUCUACCAAAUUCUAAUACUCAAGUUGCUGUUAAGCGAAUCUCUCGUGAAUCUAAACAAGGUGUGAGGGAAUUUACGUCUGAGAUUGCUAGUAUUGGUCGUCUUAGACAUAGAAAUUUGGUUCAGUUGCUGGGUUGGUGUCGCCGGCGAGGUGACUUACUACUUGUCUAUGAUUUCAUGCCUAAUGGGAGCUUAGACAAGUACUUGUUUGAUAAUCCUAAAACCAUUCUCAAUUGGGAACAAAGAUUCAAUAUUAUUAAAGGUGUUGCUUCUGGCCUUCUGUAUUUGCAUGAAGGAUGGGAACAGACUGUGAUUCAUAGAGACAUAAAGGCAGGCAAUGUGUUGUUAGAUUCUGAGCUAAAUGGAAGACUUGGUGACUUUGGUCUUGCCAAAUUGUAUGAGCGAGGCACUAAUCCUAGCACCACUAGGGUGGUGGGCACUUUAGGUUACUUAGCACCUGAGCUAACAAGAACCGGCAAGCCUACUACAAGCUCAGAUGUGUUUGCAUUUGGUGCACUACUGCUUGAAGUGGUGUGUGGAAGGAGACCUAUUGAGCCUAAAGCAAUGCCUGAGGAGCUCAUUUUGGUGGACUGGGUGUGGGAGAAGUGGAAAAAUGGUGCAAUUCUUGAUGUUGUGGAUCCGCGAUUGAAUGAUGAGUUUGAUGAACUUGAAGCUGUUGUUGUGUUGAAACUCGGACUAAUGUGUUCCAACAAUUUACCCAACGUUAGGCCGACGAUGAGGCAAGUUGUGAGAUACUUGGAGGGAGAAGUGUCGUUGCCGGAGGUGGUUGCGGCCCCAGAUGCAUACGAUGGGAAAAAGAGUGAGGGUGGUAAUGGUGGAGAGUUUGAAGAUUAUGUUCAUUCAUAUCCAUCAUCAACAAAUUUUGACAAGUUCACUACAUGGUCAUGUGGGGCUGAUUAUGGGGAUAUUGAUAUUGAAGCUGGUUCGACUUCGUUUCGCUCACCUUCUCAUCGAAAUGAAGGCAGAUAACCAUUGUGCAGAUCUAAAUCUUCACCUUUUUAUAAUUUUUCUAGUCUUGAGAUAUGCUGUCUGUAUACAUAUUCAUCCUCAGAUAUUAAUUAAUUGAUUGAUAUCCAUUCAUGGGCUGUAAAUUUCCAAGUUGAUAUAGAUUUUUAUACAUUCACUGUGAGAAACUUGACAUCUGCAUAAAGUCUAUGAUAUUCCUGUGUUGUCCUCCAAAAGUUUGCUACUUCAGGCAAGAUCCUGUUUGUCCAUGGAUUCCACCAAAAAUUGCGGCAGAUCACUGUUUUUGGCAGUGCAUCUGCAUCACUAAAUGUGGGUACAAUUCGGACCCAUGUUGAAAUAAACGUCAAUUGCAAUAUUAAAAUUUACAAGAGUCCUUGGUAAUAAAGUAAAGAUGCUGGAGAAGUCCACACAUGCAAUUCCAAAAUGGAUCAGCUUCAGCGGCUGAUCAGAUUUUGACAAGGACUUAACAGUGAGUUUGUCUAAAACUUUUGCAAGAGUCCCAAGCAGUCUAUGGACAUGAAACAAAUUGCCUUUGCAUAGAGAACUCAUGUUUAACACGCCAUUCUUCAUUUCUUAUCAAAUACUAAAGGUGUAGGAACUUCUAUGUGAUAAAUUAUUGGCGACAUAUUUUUGCCAAUUUGGGAAAAUGACUUUGGAUAUUUUUUUAGACCUUGUUACAUCAGACGUGUCAUUUGAAGUCUGUUUAUUGAAAAAAUUGAAUAUAAAUCACUUUUGAAUUAUAAAUCUAAACCUUAUCAGAGGCUAAUUUUAGUUCAAUUUCAAAUUAAAAUCGUCCGUUUAUUGGAUAUUAGUGAAACUGUUUCGAUUCAUAUCUAGUUUGAAAUUUUUUAAAACGACAAUAAUCUUAAUAUUUUAUACAUUAAAAUAUAUAAAUUUUUAAAAUUUAAUUUUAUCAUAUAUUUAAUUUUUAUAGUAAAACAUAAAGGGGCCAAAUCAACCUAUAUAAUUUUUUUAAAAAAAAAAAAAUUUUAAAUAUAUCAUGCGAAAUUCAAAAUCAAUUUAUGAUAAAAAAAUCUUGUUUUAAAAGCAUUAAUUCCUUCUAGAAUAGCCUUUCUUGUCCGAUUAUAGAUUGCAACUUUAAGUUUUUUACACGUGCCCUUGUGAUUGGUCCAAGUGGCAUUCAUGGUAGCAACAAUAAUGCUACUAUGUCUUCAUCCAUGGUAGCAUGGUUGAUGCCCUCACCAAUCGAAGUGUCUCGGUUUGGAACUGGCAAUUCUUGCUGGCCACCGAUUCCAAUCUUGGUUCCUUUCUAAUUUGUUAAGGUCCCAAUUCAUGAACCAAAAUCGUUUGACAAAUUCAGUUUCAAUUUAAUUCAUACGGUUUAACCUUGAUUUAUAAUCCAAAUCAGACCAUGGUUUGUAUAGUCUUAUGAACCUAUCACAUUAGUCCUUAACUUGAUCUACUUUUUUGUGAGUCAACUUGAUGCAGAAGUCUUGCGGACAAGUCGGAGUACAACACAACGUAAACAAGCAAAAAGGUGGACAUUAAAUGGAAUUUACCGGUCAAUGAUUCAUGUUUAUACGUGAACUACACUGUAAAAGCAAAAAAGUCAAAUGAGAAAGAAAUUAAGAAAAAUAAAAAUAAAAUUAUUUAAUACAAACUUUAUAAAAUAAAUUUAUUCAACUCCUAUAAGCACACAUAACUUAUAUAAUUUUUAAAUUUUUAAAAAUUAAAUAGCUAUAUUUGUCUAUAUAUUUAUAUAAUUUAUAUAUACUUUAAAUUUAUAGAAAUUAAAUAUUAAAAGUUAAAAUAAAGUGUCAACUGAAUAAUCUUUUAAAUAAAAUUUAAAUGUUAAAUUAUAUAUGUUGCGAAGUCAAAAUCCAGCAAAAAAAAAAAUUAUGUAGUGGAUCGGUAGCGGACAAUGAUCUAAGUGCCUAAUGAAAUCAAUAUAUAAUAAUAUCACUUCGUAGUGGAGGCUUCUUUUCUUUCCCCUUCAUUCUCUAACAUUUGACUCUGUAUUUUGUUGACUUUGGAUGUAUUUUCAUAAGAUCCAAAUUUGAUCGAUCAAUUUUUUACACUUUUUAAAAUAUAUAUUUAAUAAAAAAUUAAUUAAAAAAUUAAUUAAUACACUAGUUAAAAUAUUUUUAAUAUAUUUUUUAAAAUAAAAAAUUUAAUAAAUUUUACUAUACUAUAAAAAUUAAAUAAUAAUUUUUUAAAAAAUAAAUUGUGAGAAUUAUAAUAAAUAUCAAAUUCACUAUCAACCUGCAAAAUAUCAAACUCACUAUCAACCUACACUUUGUUAAAUUUAAAUCGGCCUAACUCAGAUCAACCUAACUCAUUCAAACCGGAACCAACUCAAAUCAAGUCUAACUCACUCAAAAGCUAGCUCCGCUCGAACAUAUUAAUCCUAUCACAAAUCAAUAUAAAAUUCAAAAGCAUAAAGAUCUGUAACUGUGUUUAUGUUUAUCUUAAAUCUGUGUGCAUGUUCUAAAAUAUUUAUUUUUUCAAAAGCAUAAAGAUCUGUAUCAAACUCUGGUUUAAAGCCAAUUUCGCCAUGAAACUUCAACAUUUGAGUCAAACAAGAAAUCACCAAAGAUGCAUCACAUCAAACUUUCAUUUGAUUGAGUAUUCUAUUAAAAAAUCUGCACAGGCUUUCAUAACUUACCAACAUCAAAUCCAAUUGAAUCCAGAAAUGAGCAGCAGACAAGGAACAUGAACAAACAAGUAUCAACCAGCAUGUAAUAAAAUUCUCAGCAACACCACAACCAUGACAUGAAGAAAAGUUCUUUAAAAGGAAAAUAAAAGAUCCAUACACAGAAAAAUUCAAGACUCUCCUAAACACAAAGGCCAUCUCUGCCUGGUAAUAUUUUGUACAGUCGCGAUCACAAAUACACUACCUCCCUUUUUACAACCUUAAAACUUGUACAGUAAAUUCUUAUCGCCUCUGCAUCAGCAUCAGAAUGUUCACCAUCUGAGCCUCAGCUAGCCUCAUCUAGGUAUAUCCUCAAACUAAAAAUGUACAGUUUUAAGUACAACCGACAAUUUUAUUUUCAUUAAACUCCUGUCUAUCCAAAUCAAUAGACAGCCAUUACUAGAUAUUAAAAGAAAGAAAAAAGAGAGGCGCUCAUACUAUCCUCAGUUAGCUGUACAACUUCAACUAUGCCAUCUACGCAGCAGGAUGCAGGGUAAGGAAGCUGAUCCUCCUCUCUGCAAAAAAUGGAGGGCACUUGUUAGAGUUGUUUCUGCACUAGUGAUGCAACUCUUAUUUAACAUUAGCAUUUGAUACCCCAGCCCUUCAGAAGUUAUGUUAUAAUAUCGGGAAGAACUCGAAGAAAAUAAUGUGCGCAUAUUUUUCUAAUGUAUACUUGGUUGACGAUAAAACAGCACAUUUUGGCUGCUGAACAUGAUAACAUGCUCAACAAGGCAUAUUAAAUGAUAUUCAGUCCUAAACCAACUGUCAAACAAUGAGUUUGCAGCUCUUCUUUUUUUUAGUGCAAACAGUAGAAAUCAGACCAAAUUAUCAUAAAGCAUGAAAACUAUAGAAUUACCUCCAGCUGCAACAAGUUUCUCUACACGCGCAACUAUAUGCUUCCCAUAAGUAUACUUCUUCAGAGCAUUUAAGUGAAUCUUUAUUCGAUUAAGGAUUAGUUCAAGUUGCUGGUCAUCACAAGUUUCCAGCACUUUCUGUACAACGUAAUUAGCAAACUGAUCUUUCAUCAUAACCUGCACGCAACAAGAAACAGAACCAAAAUAAGAACAGAAUUCUCAAUAGACAACAUUGAAAUGAGAUAUGCGGAACUGUAAAAAAAGAAUAUCAUCCAACAGAGUUCGCCAAAGAGAGAACCCCACUACAAAAUGACAAUUAGAGAGUGAAAUCUAGUAAACUGCUGCCUAAAGAAGAAUAAGAGCAUAAAGGAAAAUCAGAGAUAACAUUAUCCUUAACAUGGUCUGGAGCCCACAAUCAAAUGUAUGUCUACCACACUGGAACAGCAAUGGAUGAUAUAGAAGUGAACCAUUAAAACAUUGCUUAAACGGACAAAUUCAAAUCUUAAGCAUGAGUGCCAAAAGAUAUUCAAGAAAUCAAGUUUUAAUGUCAAUGAAUCAUUUGCUGCCAAUUUUGUAAAUCCAAGGACUAAAUUCUGACAUGAUUACAAAUUCUAAAAACUAACAAAUAAUAAAUCUAUGUUGCAAAGCUUGUCCAAUAGGCCUGUUUCUCCUGCACAGAUCUUUGGAAACUCCCAUUAACAACUUUUGUACAACUUCCAGGUACUCUAGGGCAUAGUUAUCUAAAUCGUGGUACUGAGUACGAGGUACACAGCAUGUUAAUGAAUGAAAUAUAGGGAUAUGUAGGGGGUAGGCUCAAUAGGUACGUUAGUUCCACUAGUGGUAUGUUUAGUUAGUGCACCAAUUUAAUUUGGGGCAUAUAAAUUAUGUUUAUACAGUAUAAUAUAAUGUUUACAUAAUUAAAUAUAUGACUAAUAGUUGAUAAUAUUUAUAUUUGUUGAAAAAAAAAAUUAAAGUUUUAACUAAUAAAAAUAGUAAUUUAUACUCCCAAGUUAACAUUUCCACCUAUUCCACCAACAUUUAGAUCUAAUGUCUGUAUCACACUUAAAACAUUUUAAAAUGUAUUUUCUUCUUUUUACUUUUCUUUUAUAAUAGCCCUUACGUCUUUUCUUUCUUCUUGUAACCUCUAUGUUGGUGACUAAAAUCAGUCUCCAAAUGAUUGGUGACACAAAAGUAUCGCAUUUCAGUACGAAGUACCCAGAACGCAGUUCGCAGGAGGAUUAAGAGAAUCUGAUAACUAUGCUCUAGGGGUACAAGGUAAGCUGAGACUAGGAAUAUAAAUUCAGGAAUUUCACAUACUGGAGUCGUCAUAAAGACAAGAGAAUAUAGAGAAAGAGGAGACACAAGCAAGAAUAAUUAUCAGCUUAUUUAGUUGUUCAUAAACCUGAAGAGGCUCAUUUUCAUCAGUGGUACCAAGCAUUUCAUUCACCAGAGCCUGGCGUUCUGCGGGAGUACCAAAUGUUAGACACUUCUCUAUAACAUUGGAGGCAAAUUUCUGCUGGCUCAUUUGAACUAUCUGCCCAGUUAAUUUCUUUAUUAUUGCUGAACGUUCAUGAGGCUUUCCAUGCUCUAGCACAUGCUGUAAUAUUACAAGCAAGAAACUAGAACAGGUUAGUUUAAAAUAGAAAAAUCGACAAAUAAAUAAAAAUGUGCAUGCAACUAUCUCAGCGUGUGUGCGUGUGCAUGUGUAAGAAAGAAUUUUUAAUGUGAGAUAAAUUAUCGAACAUGUAAUUGUAGAGUUGUUAUUGUUAAUGUGAAUGUAGCUAUUGAGUUGCUGCUGUUAUCGUUAAUGUGAAAUAGAUCAAGAUAUAAAAAUUAUAGAUAGUGCUUUAAUUAGAGUCAUCUUGUGGAGUAUUUUAUGGCAAGGAUAGCUCAUUUCACCUUUAUAUAUGUUGUACAUGUGCAUGAUGAGUAAGUAGCAUAAUCAAUGUUCUCACUAACCCAUCCAUGGAAAUAAUGGUUGCAGAAUAAAAUCAGAAACAAAUAAGUACCAUCCUUCAUUGCUAAGUUGUUGAUUCUUUAUGCUCAUCUGACAGAUCUAACAAGAUACUUCCCACAAAUUUUAUGGCAAAUAUACAUUUUCUUAUCAACUGAAUCCCCUUGGUUCCAUGAGGCUAGAGAUAUCAAACAUAAUGCACCAUCGUUGAGCUUCAGCAUCAAUCAUAAAAUUAUAGCCAGAUAAUAAAGUUGCUCAUAAAAGCAAAGCACUGAAAAUAAUAAAUUUAUCACCAAGCAAAAGAUGCUAAGAAGCAGCAAUACUUAAACUUAGGAGCUUUUCCCCCCCGCAUUUUAGAUACUAAAAUCCUCAGAUACUCCUAGCACCUGAUGGAUACUUCCCAACCUUUUCCACAUGCACCUAUUUUCUCCGAACAUAUCCAGAGUUGAAAAUGGAAAAUAUAUCUUAAAAACUAUGUUAUCAAUAAUCAAUACCCUACAUCAUCGCCAUGCUUCUUAGAAAAUAUGCAUAUUUGUCUUAAAAGCUUCAUUGAUAUAUGUGCACCAAACCUGUACAACAUAAUUUCCAUACUGGUCUUGUGCCAACAUGCAAACAGAUUGCAAAAUCUCAUCCAUCAUUAUACGCUGGGUAUUUGUGUCAUGGCAGUGCUCCAGGACUCUCUGUCACAAUAUAUAACAAUUUGGAACCAUAGCAGUUAGACCUUCACAUGUAUAUAUGCGUAUGUAUGCAUACAUGGCUACAUGCACACAAGAGAACAGGGUAUAUCAACCUGUAUGACUCGACAACCAUAUGGAUGAGUGGAUAGCGUCACAACUUGAUCAUAAAACGUUGAAACAAUAAAAUGUAUAGCAUCUUCAGGGACACAUUCAAUACACUUCUGGAUGACAUGGUUCCCAUUCUGAUCACGUACACAGCGCAUAAUAUGACCAUCAAGCUCUGUCACCAUUUUUGUCUGCUGGUCCAACUCAACCAUUUCUAUAGCCUGGUUAUAAAGAACAAAAUGCUUAAUAUCCAUAAUCUUAAGAUUUAUUUUGAAAUCAAGUACAUCAUUCUAUAUUAAAAUACGUGCGGGUGCAAAACAGACAUUUUUACUGGAAGGGGACAAAAUACUCAGACCAGCUAAAUAUCUUGGUAUGUCAGAACCAAAAUCCAAACAUGAGGGACUGGCCAUCCCAUAAUUCUUCAUAAUUUGACAAGAGCACCAAAAUAACAGAUGUCUAAUAUAAAUUAUAAUGAAUGGUUUAAUAAUUUUGGUGGGUUGAGACAAUGUUACAAAAUUCAAUAACUCAAUAACAUGCGGAAAUUCCUGAAUCCUGCAGGCCACUCUAUAAUCUUUUACAUGUGAUGCCUAACUAGUCCCUACAAUGCUAGGGAAAUCGACUUGUCAGCAACUCCAACAUGAGCUAUUAAGAUAGAAUAGCAAAAGUAAACAGCACUAUUGCAGGAGUCUAAACAAAAUACAAUAAUGCAAGUAUCAAAAGGAGGAUGACUAAAUAAAUACCUUUUGUAUCACUCGACAACCAUACAUUUGAAGGCUAAGCGUCAGGACAUGCCCAGUUAAUUGGUCAGCCAGUUCUCUUAUUUGGGAUGCAGAUCCAUGCUCAAAAAACUGAAGAUAAAUUUUUUGAUCCAUUCAUGAGUGCUUUUUUUAUUUUGUGUACCUUACUAAAAGUUCAACACAAACAUCACAGGAAACUCGAGUUUUCUAUAUAGAAAUACCUUUUGUAUCACAUAAUUACCAAAAACAUCAGUCAUUAAUGAAAGAGCUUGGGGCAUAAUCUCAUUGAAAACCAUGUUUUUCUCAUCUGCUGUAGCAGUUUCAAGUUUCUGUUGAAUGAAUCGACUCCCAUACUGAUCGGCACUGUUCAAUAAAGUAUUGUACAAUAAGAUCAAAAUUUCUUCAGGCGCAAAGUAAAAGGAGAAAAGUUUGACCAGGUGGUAUGUACCUGAAUUCAACAACAUGACCUGCAAUUUCCAAGAGUUCAAAACAUUUAGUUUUAUUGCUUUUGAAUUCAUCUAGCAAAGAGGGAGGAAAAUUUUCAUCCAAAUUACCACCAGUCUCUGAGUGCCAAGAUCCUAUAACACCCCCCGACAGAUUCCUCAACCCAGAAUUAAAACGCAUGUUUCUCUCACCGUGCCUGACAGGACUGCCAGAUCCAAUAGGAGAAUUUGGAAGAAGUGGCCCACCUAUUGGACUUCCAGAAUAAGACAUGCCAAGACCAAAUGCUGGAUUACCAUAGUAAUUGUGAUUCAAGCUGCCAGAUUUGCCCAGAUAGGGAAUGCCAUAUUGUGAUUUUUGCGGUGAAAGCAAUGCUCCUAAGUAAGCUUUUUGGAGCAUAUCCACGUAUGAAUUUCCAAGAUACUCUCUGUCUACAGUAGGAUCAUUGAGUGCCCCCAGCUGUGCAGCAGUGUAUUCAUUUGAUCUCAGGUACUGAAGAUACAAGGGAUCCAUUAGUGGCAUCAUCUGCAGAGCAGUACCAGCAGUCUGAUUUCCAGCUCUAUUCUGUAAUUCUGCUGCAGCAGCCAUUAAGUUUGGCCCUAAAGCACUCAAUGCUCUAGAAUCCAAUCCAGCUCCUCCCAUUGCAGAUGCAGCAGCAACAUUUUCAAAUAAAGGUGGUAAAACCCCACUGCCAAACUGGCUUCCCAUCAUGGAUGGAGAUGAAGGAUUCACAGGAUACCCACUCAAGCUGUAGUUUGUAAAUGGGGAAUUUGUGUUAUCAGCAUUCUGAAGGUCAGAAGGAGAGCCUCUUCUGCCAUUAAGAGCUGGUGUUGAGGGGCCUUUUAAAUAUGAGUUAGCAGAUAAAUUAGAUUUAUUCAAAAAUGACUGUUGCUUGACAUGGUUCUGGUCGCCAUGCAGAUUGAAGAGAUCACAGUGGUCAUCAAUGUUAUGAAGGCUUUGUGAUCUUGCAUGAUUUUCUACAUCAACUGAAGACAGAUUCAACCCAGACAAAGCUGCUACAAGCUCAGGAGACUCAUUCAAGCUUGAUGAGACACCUUUAAAUGAGUUUGGACCACUAACUUCUCUUUUAUCCAUAGAAUUGGUCCUACCUCCUCCAAUAGUUGGAAUGCGAGGACUAGGAGCUCUAGCAACAAGCUGAGGGUCAGGUGUAGUGCUUCGUGACAAGGAGGCACCUAAAGCAGAAGCAUAGGUAUGAGAGGCAGUUGCACCAACAUUUGGGACCAUGGUCACCCCCUGUUUGUUUGAAACAGAAUGCAAAGCAUCAGCAGAUGCUAAAUCGUGAAGCUGAGCAAACUGGGCUUCAGAAGUUUCUACAGUAUCAUCAAAUGCAUUCCGACUGGCUGGACGAGAAGGGUGCCUUAAGAUGGAAUUUGCAUGAUCCAUGUCAUCCUGUAUCACAUGACCAAACACCUUAAACAAGCAACAAAGCCAAGGAAAGCAAAAGACAAGGAAAUUCAACAAAAUUUUGAGAUAUACAAUCAAACAAGAACAAAAGAAUGGAAUUCAUAUUGCAGCAAAUAUUCAAAGAGAAUAACUAAUUGUAGAAGCUCAAGCUGCAUUUUUAAGAAACUUUCAUUUCCUCAAAAAUCACCAUAGCAUUAAUUUGUGUGCUCAAAGCACACAGAAAAAUGGUAGUAGAUGGUAUUUCAUUUAUGUGCCCAAAAAUCACCAUUUUUUGGGCUUGCAAUGAUAAGACCUGCACGCACUAACAAAACUAGCACAUAUUCCUUUACGUAUUUGUUCAUGCAAAGUAACACAACAUUUUGUAUGAACAGAAAAGGAAUAGGCAAGAUAAAAAGGAUGACCCUGUCUCAUCCAGAUCUAGGUACUUGGGGAAAUCCAAAAAGAAAGCAACCACUUAAAAUACAUAAAUAGAAAAUACAAGGAUAAAAGAACAAGGUUCAUUUUCAAAUCACAGUCACAUUUGAUUAUGCUAUGUUUUCCGCUCAAACACACAUCAAAAAAUUCACGCAGAAAGACAUUGCUAUUUACUAAUCACUAAUACAUACAUCAGCUUAGUGCAGACAAUAAAACAAUGGCAAUACAUCAGCUUAGUGCAGACAAUAAAACAAUGGCAAUAACAACAAUAUCUUGGUAGAGAAUAACAGCAAAGCACAUUGUCAUUAAUCAAUAAUGAAAAGGAUCAAGGAUGUAAAUGGCAAAAGAACAAUGCAAGAGGAAUCAAAAUGAGAAGAAACCUAUCUUCCAACAUCAAGCACUUAAAAGACAUUAAAAACCAAAGACAGAGAUAAAUUAACUUGCAAUAUCAGAUCAAGCUCAAUACUGUUGCAAACAACUCUCAGAAAAUGACCAAAAAAGGAGCAAUUAUCAGAACUUAUCAAUUUGAAGAACUAUAUAUAUCAGUAACCAUUAAAACAGUAUACAAGCGACAUACCUAAACACGUCCACAGAUUACUUAGAAAACAAAUGUAGAAUUUACAUAUCAAGAAAUGAAUAUUGACACAAUAAAAAUCAUAGAAGUCAGAAGCUCUAACUGUCAACAAAAUACAUUGACAAGCUCCACUGCAUCGACUAUGUCUACAGGCUACAGCUAACAAAAUAUCAUCAAUAUUUCUUACAUCAGUGGCAACUAUCAGAAAAAAUAGAACCCAGACAGCAUAUACCUAACAUAACCCAUAGAAAAAGAAGCAUAGAAAUCUGCACCAAAUGCUUCAAAGGACCAGACAUCAUCCUAGGAUUAGCUAAAGGGAAAGGUAAUAUACAAACAAAUAUUGCAUCGAAGACCUAAAAAAUAGAAACGUAUGUUUCAAAAAUAAAACAACCACCAACAACAAAAGAUAGAAAUUUCAGGUUUCACCUGAAUGAUUUCUGCAAUGCUCUUUUGCCUUCUUCCUAGGCCUAAACCUGGCAAUCCAAUCAACCCAUCUCCUCCCCACUCGACUCCUCCACCAGCCCCAUUCCCAUUCUCCUCCUUCCCUCCCCCAAACCCUGGCUGCACUGCAAAAAGCGACCUGUUUCCUUCAUUAUCACCGCCUCUACCACCCUUCCGUCCGUCCCCAACCACCGGAUUAACCCCACCACCAUGUAAUCUCUGUGAAAACCUCCAAUCCUCCUUUGAUAACAAAGGAGGAGGCAGUCUUGGAUUCAAGUUCACGUUAGAGUAGUAAUAAUUAACAUAAGCUGGAUCAGAACGUAUAUCCUCCUCGCUCAAGAACCCACCUUUGUUGUUCUUUUUGAUAGCAGGUAACCCAGUAGCAUCAAACAAGCCCCCAAUCGAGCUUAAAGACCCUUCUACAGUAGGUGGGGCAGACCCACUCCGAUAAAUAUUGAGCUCCUCUCUGUCACUCGCUACCUCUUGAUGUAACCUUUGCUCUCUAAUCAGUUUGCCCAAAUCCUCGUUUUUGAGCAUUGAUCGCAUUGAUAUAUCGGGCAAAAUCUUUGAAUACGUGUCAGUGAUCAUUAGAUAUGAGUGUAAAGAAUGAAACUUUUGGCUAAAUUUAAGCUAAAAAAGGCUAAAAUUAAACUGGGUUUUUGUUUGUUGGUUCAAAUAAGCUGUUGUUUGUUGAUCAAAACCAACGAACUCAAGAAACCCAAAAAUCUUUUCUUUUCAAAACAGAAAAUUUUUAAAAAAGAAAAAGAAAAGUCCUUGAUUGUGAGUUAAGGUGUUGAUGUUGUGCUAAAGAGUGUAAAUUUGGUAAUACAUACGGAGAGAUCAGAUUAACAGUGAAGAGUGUUGCAGAUGAUCAAUGAUGGUAGUGGCUUUAGCCAUGUUGUUAGAGAGAGAGAGAGCGAGAUAGACAGAGACUCGGACAAAGACACAGGCAGGGAAGAGAGUGAGGGGAAGAAAGAUACGAGUGAUAAGCACGAGCAAUGGCAAGAUCCUGACCGUUGGAUUCAUGAAGUGAUGGCAGGGAUUGAUUCCAUGAGGAUUUGUUCUCACAACAAGUCUUUAGGGUUUUAUUUCUUGUGAUUCAAUGCUAAAUUUAUGGCAUUAGUUUUUUUUUUCUUUUUCUAACUAUUAAAGCCUUUUUUUUCCUUCCUAAUUCAAAAAACUUUUAGAAAUUCCAUUUAAAAAAAAACACUUGCAUAUCUUAAAUUUUUGAUAAUACCAUUUUUCUAAAAAUAUUAUAAUUUUAACAUUUUGAAGUUAAUUUAAUAUUUUAUAUAUUUUUCUCAAUUAUAAAUUAUAUGAGAAUAUCAUUCUGCAUAAUAAAAUGAAUAAUUCUAUUGGAUUACAUUGCAUCAUUAUGGCCUUAAAAAAAAUAAUGUCAUGAAAUUUUUUAAAAAAAUAAAAUUUUAUUAAAAAUAAAAAAAAUACAAAAAAAAAAACUUUUUUUUCUUUUUGCAGUAAAGUACCUAAACACAUGAUGAUGUUACAUUCUAAAAUGUUUUAUCCGGAUAUGGGCAUGCAUAUGUAUGUUUUUUUAAUGAUAAUUUUAUUUUUUUGGAGGAGAUAAAAGUAUAUUAUUUCCACCCAAAAUAAAUUAUAAAUUAUUAUUUUUAUUAUAUUUUGAAGCAAUUCAACAUAAAUAGCUUAUAAUAAAUAAAUAGAAAAAAACUAAAAAAGGAAAAAAAAAUACAUUCGUGGCAUUAGAAUAUUAGUAGUUUCUCAUUAAAAUAUUAAAAUUUUAUAAAUUAUAAAAUUUUAAAUUAUUGAUUUUUAAUAAGUUAUUUUAUCAUUAAUAUUAUACAUUUCAAAUAAUUACGUGGUAAAUUGAAAAUAAAUAAUAUUAUAUUGAGAUAUAUAUUCACGAGUGAUUCUAAUUAAUUAAGUUCAACAAAUUUUGUUAAUCGUAUACAUGUAUUGGAAUAGAAAAAAAAUUAUAUAUAUAUAUAUAUUGAAUUAUUGAAUUUAAUGAUGGUCGGAUUUUAUUUAUUUUGGAUAAAAUUGAAUUUAAAAAAAUAACGCUAAUCUAAAAUUUAUUUUGUUGAUCGAUUCAAUAUCUCAAAUUUUGACUUAAAUACGAGAGACAAAUUGAAUCAACCACGAGCUUAAGUCUAAAAUAAAAUAAUUCAGUCCGGUAAUAUGACGCAGUUCUAUCCGCAUGCACGUUGAAAAAAAUUGAUAAUAUUGUAACAAAUAAAAAAAAGAUAAAAUGAGAUAAAUAUUUUCUUUCCAAUUAAGUUUAUAAUGUUCUUUAGAUGCAUGACAACAAAAUUUAACGCAUUUAAAAGCUCAAUUAAAUAUUCUUAUCAUUAGUUUUUUUUGAAUGAAUACUUAUCAUUAUUUUUAUUUAAAAAUUUAUUAUUUAAUUAUUUAACAUAAAUGAGAAAAUAUGGUGAUACUGCAUACUUUAAUUAUCUGAUACAUCACGAAUACAAAUGCAACCGUGCGUAUACAUGCACAGUAGAGACAAGGAAGUUUGUUUGGAGCCACGUAAUCCGGCGAGUAAUAGCGGAAGUCAUAGAUUCACGCGCCAUUUUUGGCCAGUGACAAAUGACUAACUUACACCUGGCCUUUAGAUAUGCAGCGGCACGGGUUCCUAUAAAUACUCUUUUUGACCACGCGCUGCUUUUGGAAAAUAAUAGAAAAUGACAUUGAAAUAUCAAAAAUAUAUAAAGAGAAAUUAUUUUUCAUAAUAUUUUUUAUUUUUAAAAUUAAACAUUUUAUUUCUAUAUUUAAAUUCUGUUUAAUUGAAAAUCUCUCUAAAUAAAGUAAAAUUAUAGAAAUUAUAUUUAAAAAUAUUUUAAUAAUUAAAAUAAUUUAUUUUUAACCAAGUGAAAGCUUAGAUGCUCUCUGAUUUGACUGGACAAAUUAACAAUGAUUAAUAUAAAAGAAAGCAUGUGGUUUCUGAAACAUACAAAAAAAGUGAUGAUGCCUUCAUUUAAUUUGAUUCUGAGUAUGCUACCCAAAAACAAAAUCUUUACCAAAUUCAUGUAUAUAUAUAAUUAUUAAAUUUAAAUAUAAUAAAUCAUUUGCUAAAUAAUAAAUUAUAUAUAUGCAAUUCAUCUAAAGCCACUGACAUAAUCAAAUGAAUGGAGAAUUGAUUUGGGGAGAAUUUGUUAAUACAGAACAAAGAAACAAAUGAUGAAUCUAAGUCUGAAGUAGUGAGUUUGAAGGUGAAGAAUCACAUCAAGGUUUUUUGUUAUAAUUAUUUGUCAUGAAAGGCUGCAACUUCAAUACCAUCUUCCCAAUAAUUUAAUUAUAUUUGUGCUUAUCUCCAUUUAAACACACAUUGACACAUACCAUAAUUUAAUUAUAUUAUCCACAACACAUUUUCUUUUUUUUUUUAAUUAUUAAAUUAUUUUUUUAACAAUUUUUAAAAAAUAUUUCCCACAUUUAUACCUACUACCGUAAAGCAUACCUAACAAAAAAUGAUUUAAUAUAUUAAUUUAUUUUAAUUUAAUUCAAAAUUAAUCUAUAUUUUAGUUUUUUAAUCUAUACCAAUUAUUAUUGUAAUUUUAAAAAGUGUAUGAUCAACAAUAUAUAUUAAUUAUAUUUUAUAAUAUGAAAUAUAUAAUUAAUUUAAAAUUAUAUUUUGUAUAAUUUAUUUACAAGAAUAUAAAAUAAUAAAAUAGCUAUAAUUAUUUUUUAAUAUAUUUUUUAAAAAUAGUUUUUUUAAUUAUAUACUUUUUUAAAUUACAAUAAUAAUUAGUAUGACUUUAAAAAAAUAAUUUAGAUGAUGAGUUCAUUCAAAAUUAAAUUAAAAUAAAAUUAAUAUACUAAAUCAUUGAUAAAAUUAAAAAAUUUAUGAUAAUAUUAUAAUUUUUUUUAAUAUUAUCGAUUUUAAUUUUAGGAGAAACGAUAAUAAAAAUUAUAAUUUUUAAAAAAAUUAUAAUUACAUAUUAAAUUUUAAAAAAUUAUCGAUUAAAUUCUAAUUUUUUUAAUUAUAAUUAAUUGUAUUCUAAAUUUCACUAAAAUGAUGUGAUAAUGAUGCGGUAAUAAUGUCAUAAUUAAUGUAUAAUUUUAUUAAUUUUUAAUAAGAAAUUUAAUGUUAGAGUGUAAUUAAAUAAUCAUAAAAAAUAUAAAAUUUAAUUAAUGAUAAAAAAAAUAAAAUAUAAUUAUAAAAAUAAAAAGAAUAUUUUUUUAUCAUUAUCUCAAAAAUAAAUAUAUUAAUAUAUGGACUCGUUUAUGGUGGCAAACUAAAUUGUAAGAGCAUUUAUUAAUUUAUAUAAUUGUGAAUCAACUUUGAUUUCAAACUAGUUUAUAUUUCAUUAAUAUUAACGUUAUAACUAAAUUAUUCUAUAUAAUUUUUAUAGGUAUUAUGAUUUAAAUAAUAUUAUAAUUAUUGUUAUUAUUUAUCAAAUUUAUCAAUAAAUAGAAAAUUAUUCUGUUUUAUUUUUUAGAAAAUAAGUAUAAGACACUUCAUAAUUUGUCAAAAGAUAAACGAUUAUAGAUAAUUUAAUUAUAAUAUUUGAUGAUCUGAGAUCCAGAGAAAUAGGAUUUUUAUAAUGGGCUCUGUAAAACUUAGAAAAAGUUUAAACCUAGAAGAGAGUAUUUCUCCUUUUAUAGGUUUCCUUUUGUCUGCUAGUGACGUGUCAAUAGAACGAGUAUCAGUAGACCAUCUGUCCCUGCUACGCUGAUACGGACGUACGAGGGAAUCAAAUAUUUGCCCCAUGCGUAACGGCCUCUGAUUCUCUCAGGGCGCGGGUAGGCGGGUCUGCAAGAUGGAUGGAUGGAUCCUCUUUCAGGUUCCGGGCUGGACCGGAGAGUAAGGACAAAGCAGGGCCUAAAUGGGAUCGGCCCAAGGUGUAGAGAAGAUGAGGCCGGCCUGGUAGAGAGAGCCAGAUAAACCCGGUCGUGAGGCUUAAUGGACUGGACCCAGUUGGCGUGAGUGGCUUGAGGAUCUCUAAGUAAUGGGCUAUUUUCAUGGGUCUGGCCCUAGACGGGGAUGAGGUGAACUCAUAGGUCAUCAAUUGCCCCUUUACCUUCUCGGCAGUUAUUGCCCCAACUGUCGAGGGGGUAAACCCCUAGAAUCAUUAUGACCGCGUCUGUUUGAAUUCGGCUUGCCCUUUCAUCUUAUUGUCACUUGUAGCUUUAAAUCUUCUCUAUCUUUUUUCUAUAUUUAGCUUUCCUCUGCUCUUUGUGCGCACUGUUAUCCUCGCUUUCUUACUUUUAUCUUCCCGGUGCGUUCUCUUUCCUUUCUGGUGAAUAGCCUUUAAGGAUUCUGAUGCUACCAGCCUAGAGUAUGAAAACGCCCUGUUUCGCAUUAAAAGCUCAGCCUCUGACUAUAUAUUACUAACCUUUCCUUCUUAUCCUUGGGAUCAUUAACGAAACAGCGAGAUUUCUCUUUUCGAUUUAGAGAAGGGGUAUGGUUUGUCCUUCCCUCGCUCCAGCUCGGGCUUCCAUGUCGAGCUCUCGAGGUUCCGAAUCUUCAAGGCUGUACAUCAGUGUCAAGUCAGUCUCAACUGCUCCAAUUGUUCGAACUUUUGGGUCCUCUCGGACUUUGAGAUCGAUCGAGAACUUCAGGUCAACAGGAACAAAGCCUGCCCCAUCUCCUGAUGAUGCCUUUCCGCAUAUGUUUCACGAUAUUGAAAGUUUCACUUGUUCCAUUGCUCUUCAGAAUGUUUCGCUGGUUUUCCUGGGUGUGCAUGAGUGUAUCGUGCAUCACACUUGGGUGUAGGCUUGCAACAUUCACUUGUUCCAUUGCUCUUCAGAAUGCCUAUCUAUGAUGGAACAGUGAUGGGUGCUUAUGGGGGUCGACCUGUUCAGUUCCCCUAUAAUAACGAGACAGAGCUUAGCUGGCCUGCAAAGCUCAUCUUCCGAACUAUGAGAAUUCGUCUGAAUCGAAAGCUAGGAUAGUGGGGUAGGCGAUAGUGAUGUAAACGUAGAUGAUGAUGUAUCUGGGCAUGUAAAUCCUUUAAGGAUAGCCUUUUAUCCCGUAGUGUUGGUAUCUGUGACAUGCUGUAAUGUGUUUUUCUUUUAAUGAAAUUUUUGUUUUGCGUUCAUACUCGAGCUGUUCUUUCUUUAUCAUAAAUGAAGUACUUAGAUUGCUUGCUCCGUAACUUUUCCCGAGGGAUCUGCUGUAUUGCUUUCUCCUUCUUGCCCCUUUAAUCGUUCAGAACCAGCCAACUGAGCUUUUGACUUACUUUUUCUGAGCUGGACUAGUCGUACCCGUGGGCUCUGUUUUUAACCUGUGAGCCGAGCUCUUGACCUUCUUAGGUAAUGAGCAGGGCUGGUCUUUAUCAUGCUUCCAUCUGCUUGUGUCUUUGAGUUUUUUAUGUAUCUUUUUCCGAGCUGGAUCAGUCGUAACCCUGAGCUCUGUUUUUAACCUGUGAGCCGAGCUUCUGACCUUCUUAGGUAAUGAGCAGGGCUUGGUCUUUAUCAUUGGGUGAGAGGUCCAAGUGGAGCCCGGUCUUAAGGUUUGAGCGAGUUGGGUUUGUUCUAUGCAGAUGGCAUGUGGGCUUUUGGGUGACAGGCUAUUGCCAUGGGCUUGGCCCUAGACCGGGUGAGGAGAAUCCAGCGGCCGUCAAUUGCUUUCGGGUGAUGGGCUAUUGCCGUGGGCCCAACCCUUAAUAGAGGUGGCGAAGUCCAGCGGCCGUCGGUUAUUGCCCCUUUACCUUCUCGUUAGUUAUUGUUUAACUGAUGAGGGGGUAAACUUCGAGAGUAAUUAAUGACCGCGCCGCUCCAAGACAAAAUUGUUCAGAGUGACACUUCGUUUCAUUAUUGCCUUUCCUUUCGAAUUCUCUUUGUCUCCUGAAGAAACUUGUUCUCGUCUGCUCUCUGUUUUCCUUCGACUUCUUCUGCCUUCUCGACCUUAUUGCAUUUCAGGUACGCUCUUUUACUCUUCCAUGGAGGAUUCUAAACUUCCCGAUGUUGCCAAUCUCGAGUCGCACAUUACUCCUUCUUCCAUAACCAAGUAUAUUUCUCGGAGUUAUUUAGAUACUCCACUUUACUUUAUUCACGCUCCUCUCCGGAAUGAAAGGAUAGUUCUUCCAAAACCUUCCCCUCCUGGUUUGGUAGAUCCCCAGAGGGGUCUUUGCAUAGUCUUCUUUCUUAAACAGAGGGAUUUCGGUCUGACUAGGGGUGUAAUCGAGCCGAGCCGAGCCGAGCUUUGUAAAGCUCAAGCUCGUUUAUUAAAAAAGUUUGGAAGCUCGAGCUCGAGCUCGAGCUCGACUCGAGCUCUAAUAUUUGAUUCGAGCUCGGCUCGAGAAUUAAAUAUUAUAAUCGAGCUCGAUUCGAGCUCGACUCGUGAAAAGCUCGUUCGAUUUAAUAACGAGCCUAAUUCGAGCUCGAACUCGAAAAGCUCGAUUAAGAAGCUCGUUAAUAAAGCUCGAGCUCGAACUCGGAAAGCUCGAUUAAGAAACUCGUUAAAAAAGCUCGAGACUGAGCUCAAAAUUAAAAAGUUUGAUUUGAGCUCAAGUUCAGGCUCGAGCUCGAAUUAAUAAUUACACUUUAAUCAGUUUUUAAUCAUCAUUAAUUNNNNNNNNNNNNNNNNNNNNNNNNNNNNNNNNNNNNNNNNNNNNNNNNNNNNNNNNNNNNNNNNNNNNNNNNNNNNNNNNNNNNNNNNNNNNNNNNNNNNNNNNNNNNNNNNNNNNNNNNNNNNNNNNNNNNNNNNNNNNNNNNNNNNNNNNNNNNNNNNNNNNNNNNNNNNNNNNNNNNNNNNNNNNNNNNNNNNNNNNNNNNNNNNNNNNNNNNNNNNNNNNNNNNNNNNNNNNNNNNNNNNNNNNNNNNNNNNNNNNNNNNNNNNNNNNNNNNNNNNNNNNNNNNNNNNNNNNNNNNNNNNNNNNNNNNNNNNNNNNNNNNNNNNNNNNNNNNNNNNNNNNNNNNNNNNNNNNNNNNNNNNNNNNNNNNNNNNNNNNNNNNNNNNNNNNNNNNNNNNNNNNNNNNNNNNNNNNNNNNNNNNNNNNNNNNNNNNNNNNNNNNNNNNNNNNNNNNNNNNNNNNNNNNNNNNNNNNNNNNNNNNNNNNNNNNNNNNNNNNNNNNNNNNNNNNNNNNNNNNNNNNNNNNNNNNNNNNNNNNNNNNNNNNNNNNNNNNNNNNNNNNNNNNNNNNNNNNNNNNNNNNNNNNNNNNNNNNNNNNNNNNNNNNNNNNNNNNNNNNNNNNNNNNNNNNNNNNNNNNNNNNNNNNNNNNNNNNNNNNNNNNNNNNNNNNNNNNNNNNNNNNNNNNNNNNNNNNNNNNNNNNNNNNNNNNNNNNNNNNNNNNNNNNNNNNNNNNNNNNNNNNNNNNNNNNNNNNNNNNNNNNNNNNNNNNNNNNNNNNNNNNNNNNNNNNNNNNNNNNNNNNNNNNNNNNNNNNNNNNNNNNNNNNNNNNNNNNNNNNNNNNNNNNNNNNNNNNNNNNNNNNNNNNNNNNNNNNNNNNNNNNNNNNNNNNNNNNNNNNNNNNNNNNNNNNNNNNNNNNNAACGAGCCAGCUCGCGAGCCUUAACGAGCCGAAUACUAUGGAGCUCAAGCUCAGCUCGUUUAAGUGACGAGCCUCAAAAUUGAGCUCGAGCUUGGCUCGUUUAAAAAACGAGCCGAACUCGGUCGAGCUUUUAUCGAGUCGAGCCUCGAGUAGCUCACGAAUAGCUUGACUCAUUUACAGCCCUAGGUCUGACCUUCCCUUUUACCCCUUUCUUCAUCGAGGUUUUCCGAUAUUUUGGGAUAACCCCCCGGAUGUUGUUCCCGAACUCCAUUUUGUUUAUGGCUUGUUUUGAAUCCAUUUGCCUGAGUUGGGGUUUUACACCCACAACGUGUCUAUUUGUCACUUUCUUCCGCCUUGUUAGGGCGACUCAGAAAUUUUACUAUUUUUCCCCCCGUGGUGGAUUGUCUCUUUUCACGGGCUACAAGGAUUCAAUAAAGGGAUGGGUAGAGAAUUUUCUUGUGGCGGAGCUGAGAAAAGAUAUCGACGUAUCGUGGGGAGUGGGGCUAGACUGGGAGGAUGUCCCCCCGGGCAUCAACGACCUGCCCCAACUGAGCCUCAUCGAGCAGGUGGGGUAUCUUCGACUGACUUCUGUUGACAAGAAGUAUGACGUCGAGAGAUGUAUGUUAGUGUCUAAUCUUAGGGAUAUCCGAAACACGGGUAUAAUGCCUUGUUUAGCAACUCCGCUUUUCCUCGUAAGUGACAUUAGAAAGUACGCUAACUCUUUCUGACUUUGUGUUUUUUGGCAGCUUCUAACGUUAAAAUGGAUGAGAUCAAGCCCCCGAAGAACUUAGUUCUGUCCCGAGAGAGUAUGAACGCUGCUUUAGAUGCCCUCCUGGCUGGGCGCCCCAUGCCUGAGGUUGCUGCAGAGGUGGCUCGGGUUGUUUCUGCCAAGAAGGUUAGCCGGCCUCUUGCUAGAGCUCCUUCUCGGGCUCCAAAGUCGAGCUCCCAUGGUGCCAGACCCUCUCGGCCAUCUCGUCAUGGCAGGUCGGCCCCUGCCUUGAAACCUGUUCAGGAGGCUAAAUCUGGUCAGGGUUCUACGGAGGAUGCGGAGGGAGCUCCCCUAACUGUUGUGAAGCAGGCAGGGGAUAUUGGACAGAUGAGGACGGAUCUUGCUAUUCCUGUUGAGGAGGCACCAGGGGGGAGGUUUGAAUCCCCUAUUAUUGAAGAGGAGGCUCCUGGGAUAGGACUGGAGAUCGUUCUUGUUGACGAUAGUGUCCCGGGAGUUCCUACCAGAGAUGCCCCUGAAGAGGUGAGGUCCGACCUUGCCAAGGGCGAGGAUGUCAUAGAGAAGGUAGGGGACAAACGUCCUGCCUCCCUCGAAGUGCCAUCUCCAGCUCCAGCUCAGAAGAGAUCCAAAGCUUCUAAGGGAUCAGCUCCAGCUCUCCCUCCUAUUGGGAAAGAGAAAGAAGUCCCUGUGAUACCACUGCUGUCUGCUCCUGACAACGACAUUCUGAACGCAGAGGAUAUCACUCAUCAGUCCCCCGCAAGCGUGGUUGCUGAGAUUGUUAAGGAACGGAUGUUCGGUGGCAUCUUGGAGGCUUCGGAUCCACGCUUGCUUGCUCUCACUGGUCUCUUAGCUAGCUCUACUAGAGAGCAAGCAACGUUCCGUUCCCGACCUCGCGAGGAGCUCAGAAAUACGAUCAGGGAGAUGCUCCUGAUGGUAAGCUAAGCUACCUCCUUUGCUUUCAUUCUGGUUUUCUUUGUUUUAACAGUUUUUUCCUUUGUUUUAGGUGAUGGGCCUCUUCAUGGAGGUGGAUGCCCGCGAUCACUCUCUCCGGGAAUCUGUGGACCACCGGAUAGAGGAGGCGCGCCUGGAGGAGAAUUUGUCCGUAACUAGUGAUGCCAGGGGCAACCUUACAGCAGCUCGAGCUCAUACCCAGUCCCUCCAAGCAGAGCUGCAUUCUGCCUUGGAGGCCCUCAAAAGAGCCGACGAGAGAACGGCUGAGGCACAAGAGCAUACCAAGUCCCUGGAGGCAGAGUUGUCUCAUACUCGCAGGGUUCUCAAGGAGUCUGAUGAAAGGGCGGCUGCAGCAGAGAUUCGAAGUGAAGAAGUUUUGAAGCAGUUGUCCUCCCUGGUGGAGACCCUUCGGGAAAGGGAUGAGGCCAUAAGCUAGAAGGAGGAGGUCCGGCGCCAGUAUGAGGCCCUGAAGGCUGAUUUUGAAGGGCUUCAAGUUCACCUAAAUAAGGUGAAUAUUCAAAAGGAAAGGGCCUUGGUUCGGGUGGAGGUCCUUGAGCAGGAGCUGAGCACGAGUUUUGAGCGUAUCAGAGACCUGGCUUCAUCGGCCGAGGAGUCUACGCUUCGUAACCAACAGCUUAGCCAUGAAGUCAGGGCUUUAGAGCGUAAAUGUUCAGCCCUGCUCAAGGUGGUUAGACAUGCCGAGGAUAAGAUCCAGCGGGAGUGCGAGAGGCGUCUGGAGGAGUAUCAGGAGUCGGAUGAGCUGAAAGGAAAGAUUGAGCGGGCCUGUGAAGCUCACCUCCAAGACUAUAAGGAUUCUUCUGAAUUGAAGGCGGUUAUAGCUGAGGCCUGCGAGUUGCAUCUGGACGAGUAUAAAGCCUCUGCGGAGAUGAAGACUGCUAUUUGGCAGAAAGCCUUUCGUAUGUUUAGAACUGGCUAUAAUAGGGGUUUAAGGGAAGCCAGACGCGCUCCUGAUACUCCUCUGGCAAAACUUCGAGCUAGAGAAGUGGAUUCUGAUGGCGAGGAAGUUCUUUAUGGGGAAGAUUGUAACGACCCAAAAAUCGGACCGCUACCGGCGCUAGGAUCCAGAUCGGCUUAAGGCCGCCGGGACCCGUAGCAAGCCUGACAUGUAACCUGUAGACCUGUUUAAUCCCAUACAUGAUCAACAAUCAUACAUAAAAUUUAAAACUUUCCUUUUUCAUUCAUUCCUCAUAUACCAAGCUCAACCUGUGCAUGCACUAUACAUAGCAUAUACAUAAACAUUAAUCCCUCUGUGGGAUUUCAACAAUGCCCCAAAGGCGAUAUCCAUGUGUUGAGUUGGCUAACAUAUAUCAUCAAAUAUCUAAGAUCAUGUAUCAACAAGGGAUUACAAUGAACUAUGGUCAAGC
rnacentral:lncRNA from 1 species